AACGAACGCUGGCGGCAGGCCUAACACAUGCAAGUCGAACGCGUGUAGCAAUACACGAGUGGCGCACGGGUGAGUAACACGUGGGAACCUACCCAGAGGUUCGGAAUAACUGCGGGAAACUGCAGCUAAUACCGAAUAUACCCUACGGGGAAAGAUUUAUCGCCUUUGGACGGGCCCGCGUCCGAUUAGCUAGUUGGUGAGGUAAUGGCUCACCAAGGCGACGAUCGGUAGCUGGCUGAGAGGACGACCAGCCACACGGGAACUGAGACACGGUCCCGACUCCUACGGGAGGCAGCAGUGGGGAAUUUUCCGCAAUGGGCGAAAGCCUGACGGAGUGACGCCGCGUGGGGGACGAAGGCCUCGGUUGUAACGC
rnacentral:rRNA from 1 species